UAUCAAUUAAUAGUUGUUAGUAAAUAUAAAUUUAAUUAUUAAUUAAAAUAAUAUUAAAAGUAAAUUUAAUUUAAGUAAAUUAGUAGAAAAAAAAUUAAUAUUUAUAAAAAAUUAGUAAAGUUAUUGAAUUUUUAAAAAUUUUAAAUAAUUUAAAUUAAUAAAAGUAAAUUUAAAAUUUUGUAUCUUGGGUAUCAGAGUUUAAUAAAUAAAAAUAAAAAAUUUAUGUUUCUCGAAAAAAAUCAAGAGUUAAAAAUUGAAUUUUUUUUAAUGUUAAAAAAUUAUAAAUAAUCAAUUUUUUGAAAUGAAAAGUUAUUCGUUUUUUUUUAUAUCUAGUUUUAAAAGAAAUAAAUUAAAUUUAAUUUUUAUUUUAUAUUAUUAUAUUAAUUGAGGAUUAUUUGUUAUUAUUAUCAGUUAUGGUAAAUUAUUAAAUAAAAUUAAAUAUAUAUAGGGUUAAGCUUAUAUAUAAAUUAUUAAAUUGAUUAAAAGAAAGGAAAAAUAAAAUAAUAAAAAUAAAAUUUUUUUUUUAUUAAAGUUUUUAAUAUAUUAUUUAUUUGAAAAUAGUCAAUAUUUAAAUUAAGAAUUAAUAAUUUAUUUUAAAAAUUUUAAAAUUUAUUUAUAUUAAGUUAUAAUGUUAAAAUUAGUAUUAUUAAAGUUAAUAAGGUUUUUAUUUAAAAAUAGUUAAAUUAAAGUUAAUUAAUUAGGCAAAAGUAAAUUAUUAAAAAAUUUAUUUAUUUCACAUGUUUAACAAAAACAUGUCUUUUAGUUUUAAAUUUAAAGUCUGAUCUGCCCACUGAAUAAUUUGGUUUAAAGGGCUGCGGAAUUUUAACUGUACGAAGGUAGCAUAAUAAAUUGUUUUUUAAUUGAAAACUAGAAUGAAUGAUUUCAUGAAAAUAAAACUGUGUAGAUUUUAAAAAUAAAAUUUAUUUUUUUUGUUAAAAAUCAAAAAUAAAUUAAAAAGACGAGAAGACCCUUUAGAUUUUAUAUUUUUAUAGUUGUUUAAUUUUUAAAUGUAUAUAAUUAUAGAUAACUAUAAAAAUUUAAUUGGGGUGAUUUAUAAAUUUAAAAAACUUUAAUUUAUUAAUUUUAAAUAUUUAGAUUUAAGAAAAAAUUUUUAUAUUUUAAUGAUUUAGUUAUAUGGAUUAUAGGAUUAAAUUACCUAAGGGAUAACAGCGUUAUUUAAAUUUUUAGUUCUUAUAGAAAUUUAAGAUUGCGACCUCGAUGUUGGAUUAAGAUAAAUUGAAAAUGAAGAUGUUUUUAAAUUUAGUCUGUUCGACUAUUAAAAUCUUACAUGAUCUGAGUUCAAACCGGUGUGAGCCAGGUUGGUUUCUAUCUUUUAGAAUUAAAGUAAAUAUUUUAGUACGAAAGGAUUAAAUAUUUAAAAUAAAAAAUUUUUAUUAAAAAUGAAUAUAAAUAAUUUAUUUACAUAUUAAAAAUUUAUAUAUUUGAAAAAAUUU
rnacentral:rRNA from 1 species